rnacentral:lncRNA from 1 species
CUUCCCUCCCUCCUUCCUGGUGCUCUCUCUCUCUCUCUCUCUCUCUCUAAUUUGUAAGCUAUAAGGUUGUAGUCUUAUUUUUCUUUUUUUGCUUAUGACUUAUAUGCUAUGAAUUUGUGAUAUAAUUUUAGUGAUUAUGGAAAGAAAAAGUAUUUCAAAUUGAUUUUUGAAAAAAAAUCUGUUAUUGUAACUCAAACCUGGAGCUCUCCAAUGAAGGAAAAAGCUUUCCGACAUAUUUCAGGUAG